rnacentral:tRNA from 1 species
GCCGGGAUGAUGAAAUUGGUAGACAUGACAGACUCAAAAUUUGUUGAUUUUAUAAUCGUAAGAGUUCAAAUCUCUUUCUCGGUA